AUACGUAGGGUGCAAGCGUUAAUCGGAAUUACUGGGCGUAAAGCGUGCGCAGGCGGUUUUGUAAGACAGAGGGGAAAUCCCCGGGCUCAACCUGGGAACUGCCUUUGUGACUGCAAGGCUAGAGUACGGCAGAGGGGGGUGGCAUUCCCCGUGUAGCAGGGAAAUGCGUAGAUAUGCGGAGGAACACCGAUGGCGAAGGCAAUCCCCUGGGCCUGUACUGACGCUCAUGCACGAAAGCGUGGGGAGCAAACAGGAUUAGAUACCCUGGUAGUCCACGCCCUAAACGAUGUCAACUGGUUGUUGGGUCUUCAUUGACUCAGUAACGAAGCUAACGCGUGAAGUUGACCGCCUGGGGAGUACGGCCGCAAGGUUGAAACUUAAAGGAAUUGACGGGG
rnacentral:rRNA from 1 species